UAAGUAUUUAAAAAAGAAUAGUUUUUUUAGAUACUGGAAGCCGCAAUACAGUUAUUUUGACUUCAUAUAGUUUAGAAUAUUUAUAUUAUUUGAAAGAAAUAUUGGCUCUGCAAAGUAACGUUAUUGCUAGGCUGAACAGCUAUAGCAGGAUGUUCACUUAUAACAGGGUUGUUUGUUGUUUGCUCCACAGUUCCUUAAUGUGGAAGUGUCCUUGAGCAGGCCAAAAGAUGAGCGCAUGCGUAGGGAUUAGAGACCAUUUUCGGAGUCCGGGCUAAAGUUCUGAUGACUCAUCACUUUUAUAGGCGAUCUUUGCCUAUUCACGGUGCACAGGACUUUGUUUGUCCUAUUUCAGGUUGGCACGGCCUGACAAUAGGACGGAUAAUAUGUCAGCUUAAAGCUGCAGCAGGAAGGUUGUUCAGCCUGUAAGGAGAAUGCAAGCUGCAGAGUCUAUGCACAAGACACUUAGCAAGCUGCAGGCCUGACUGCAGCUGAUUUUGCACUCCUGCUUCUGAGACUUUCAGGGACAAAGCCAAACAGUGAAGUAUCUCCUACUGAGGCAUUUAUCAAGUAGAAAUUGAUCCAAAAUGUUUAAUGCCUUUAUCUGUAUUCAUUAGACAACUGUCCUCUUAAUCUAGUAACACGACACAAUAUUUCAAACAUUCAGGGAAUAUUAAUGCAAGCUAUCACUGAGUCAACCUUUCUGUCUUUAUUUCAAACAGAACAGGCCCUGUUGAACAAGGAAGAGGUGGGACCCUGCAUGAUUUCCUUGGCCUGCACGCUCUGUGAGUGACACGCUCCUCACACACCCAAACACUACAUCACCCAGGGGAGCCCGAUGGCAGAGCUACAACCUCAGGCGAUGGCGUUCUGUUUCAGGCCAUGCAACUGGAGUCAGGUUAGAGAGGGAUGGUUGUCAGGUGAGCGCCACACUGGGCCAAGCCUCGCUCUCGCAGUGUGCUACUGUGUGCUGCAGCUGGCCAACAAAAAAAAAAAAAAAGAGACAGACUGUGAGCCCUGGCUGUCAACAUCUGCUCCAGAGACUGAACCAUCUGCCCAGGGGCCCCGGGGGGGAGCGCCUCUCCUGUCUCAGACCAGCUGCAGAGCCCCAGACGUGGAUCUGAACAGUCCUGCAGAGGCGGAGAACGCGGCCAAACCACAGUCAGAGCCGCGGAGCACUGGGACAUUUGUCUCAUACACUUAGACGAGUUUAAUCUGCAGGGUGCGAUCACAGUAAGAUUUGGAUAAACAAAUUUCCUGGAAUGCCAUAUCAAAUCCAAAUUUCUUUGACAAAACUGAAGUCACCUUGUUGGAAAAAAAAAAAUCUCAAUCUGGUAAAUUAUGAGCUGAAAUCCACACAGUGAUCUAUAUUUCACGGUACAGUUUAUUCAGCUCAAUAACGAGGAUAAUUAUUUAUUGAAUUUGAAGAUUUGAAAAUAAAUAAAAGAUGAGUCUGGGGGCUUUUUGUUAAGACCUUUUAUUUCAUCGAUUUGAGAGAAACAAGUAAAAACAGUGUACAAAGUUUAUAUUAUUUGUUUACUAAAGCUGGUGUCCUCAGUCUCGGGAAUAUGGAAGGGCAGGUACAAAAAAAGGUGAAAAGAAAAAUAAAAAGUAUAAAAUGAAUUUCCCUAUUUUUUUUUUUUUUU